rnacentral:lncRNA from 1 species
GGACCGGCACCGCGCGUGCGUAGAGCUGUCAGCCGCACCCAGGCCGCGCUUCUAGCAAAGUUGCAAAGCAACGGGCAGACCUGUCAGAACGGUGAAGAUCCCGGCGAUGGAAAAAAGGCGAAACUGCUCCGCGUAGGCUGCUCGGAGUGGCAUCGCACCUUGUUCGAGUCCGAAGAAGUUCCCGCUUCUCUAAGCCGGCUGAAGGGAUGCGAGUCUCCUCUUGUCCCAACGGGACUGUGUCCUGACACAGAGUGGACUCCGCCCCAAGAGUGCGAGCGUCCUGAGCGUUCAGGGCAUCCUGAGCCGCGGAAGGCAUCCGGCCACACCCCGCUCUUUACCCGCCAACGCCAGCCCAGGUGGCCAGGCUCAGAAUGGACUGUGAGCCUGUGUGUUAUGCAUCUCUGGUUGUAGAGACAAAAGGACAAAGAUGGAACCCACCAAGGAUGCUCCCGGCUGAAUGAAUUGUUGUUCUCUGGCUUACACAAAGUCAAGCGAAUGAUCGUCCCAUGUUAUGUAAUAUAGCAACGGCCUGCUUACCUUACUCCUUUAAUCUACGUUAUUCUGGAAAGUAACACUUGAAAUAAAAAGUAGAUACAUUCUACUGGGAAUGUGACCCUCAGAGAAGGAAAGAAAGACCGAGGGGUUGAACCUGAACACGUGAAAGAGAAUCCAAGGUAAUUGGGGAAGCAUUGUCAAGAGCUCACUAGCUAUUUAAGAAAAAAGCAUCCCAUGUAUCUUAAUAAAUUUUGUCUGAUUGAUGGCUUUUUGAUGGGCCAGAGAGGAGUGAGAGAGAGCCAGAGAGACACAGAGACAGGCAGACAGACAGCAAGGAGGAGUUUUCUUCUCUAUCAGCAGCUAUCUCUGUGUGAGGGUUUCUCCCUUCAAAUGUCAAUUCUGCCAUCCCUGUAGGGAACCUGCUUGGUACUGCCACAUCAGAGAAGCCUCGGGUAAGGAGACUGGAUGCUUGGAAUCAUGGAUACUCAGAGCACUGUUAACAAAGAGCAGAGUCCAGUCUUCCAGAGUCAUGACCUGAAUCCAAAGUUGAAAAGAUCUGAGCAGUGUAUAAACAGCCUGUCAUAACCUGCAUAAUACAUUUUUAGUCCUGAAUAAAUCUAUUCACACUUCUUUCUAUAAUCAUACUUAUGUAGAUAAGGUUGGCAGGAGGAAGGUGAAGUAUAUUUGAAGGUAUAUGUUUAUAACAGCUUUAACCUCAAGUCAUGUUUAUUUAUAAGAGAAAACGACAGUGGAAUUUGGAAAAUUAAGAAAUGAUUCUUACCAGACAGUGGUGGCACACACCUUGAAUCCAGCACUUGGGAGAUGGAGGCAGGUAGUUCUCCAAUUUUGAGGACAGUCCAGUCUACAGAGUGCGUCAGAGGACAAUCACAGGACCACGUAGAGGAAUUUUAUCUCGAAAGAUUGAAAAAGUAAAGCCUGAUUCUACUCAAAAUGUUUGAGCAGUAGGGAGAGUGUCAGAUAUCUGGUCUCACACAGUCUCAUGAACAGCUGCUUUGGGGGAAGGGCCGAAGGAAGAAAACUCUCGUGUGAGCUUUAUAAAUUCUCGCCAUAGACUUUCCCUAAGAGACUCUUUCCUGUUCUCGUGAUGCACUAAUGACAGAAAUCAUAUGACUAAUGGAGAGAAACUGGUAGAUAUACAAGAAGAACUGCAUUGGGAUAACCGCCAUCUUACAAAGGGUUCCUGCCUUGAAUUCCUGUCCUGACUUCUCUUUCUGAUAGACUGUGACCUGAAGUGUAAGCCAUACCAAUCUUUUCCUCCCUCAAGCUGCUCGUGGUCUCUAUUACAUCAAUAGGAAAGCAAACUAAGACAUCAACAUUUGCAUUUACAGAGCUAUAAACAUUUCAAUUUUAAAACUAUGUGAAAUAAAUGUCAAAAUGAUUGAAA